rnacentral:rRNA from 1 species
CCCAGACUCCUACGGGAGGCAGCAGUGAGGAAUAUUGGUCAAUGGGCGCGAGCCUGAACCAGCCAAGUCGCGUGAGGGAAGACGGUCCUAUGGAUUGUAAACCUCUUUUGUCGGGGAGCAAAAGACGCCACGUGUGGCGUUCCGAGAGUACCCGAAGAAAAAGCAUCGGCUAACUCCGUGCCAGCAGCCGCGGUAAUACGGAGGAUCCAAGCGUUAUCCGGAUUUAUUGGGUUUAAAGGGUGCGUAGGCGGAUUGAUAAGUUAGAGGUGAAAUGUCCGGGCUCAACUCGGGAACUGCCUCUAAUACUGUUGAUCUAGAGAGUAGAUGCGGUAGGCGGAAUGUAUGGUGUAGCGGUGAAAUGCUUAGAGAUCAUACAGAACACCGAUUGCGAAGGCAGCGCACCGGCGCCCUACUGACGCUCAGGCACGAAAGCGUGGGUAUCGAACAGGAUUAGAUACCCCAGUAC